rnacentral:lncRNA from 1 species
GCCAAGCAGAGCUGCUCGCUCUGAGAGGUGAUCCUGCUCCUGGCUCUCCCGCUGGCAGUCACGGGACGGGCUUAGCAUGCGCCUCUGGCCCAAGUCAGGCAUGGCCUUGUGAUCUGCUGGACCUAAGGUGUGAGCAGAACCCAGACCUGGGGCCGUGGGGACAGUGGGCAGGAGACCAGCCAGGCCCCUCCUGCGCUCUCGCCUGGUGGCCUCCAGAUCCCUGACGCUCCAUCUGUCCAGGUCCCAGGGCGAGGGGCAGGUGCAGAGCCCCCGCUGACCCUCGCGCUCACGGCACAUGAGACGCCAACCCUGCAGUCUGAGGCCGUGGGGUUGCGGAGCUGUUUGUCACAGCAGCAGGGCUGUGUCCGAGCCCACUGCGUCUCCACUGCACAGGCAGGGAGACGGUCGGGGCAAGCACAGAGGGGACACUGGGGACAGAGGACACCCUCCCCCCAGGACAGGAAACCCCUCCCCCAUGGGACAAAGAACACCCCUUCUCCAGGGCACAGUGGACACCCCUCCCCCAGGGGACAGUGGUGUCCUCCCCCAGGGGACAAUGGACACCCCUCCCCCAGGGGACAGAGGACACCCCUCCCCUAUGGCACAGUGGUUUCCUCCCUCAGGGGACAGUGGUGCCCUCCCCCAGGGCACAGUGGACACCCCUCCCCCGGGGACAGUGGUGCCCUCCUGCAGCC